AGAAACAGUUCAAGGUAUUUGUCUAUGAAGAAGGGGAGGUACCAAUUUUCCAUAAUGGACCUUGCAGAAGCAUAUAUUCAUCAGAGGGAAAUUUCAUCAAUGCUAUUGACAUGAAUGACCAUUUCAGAACAAGGGAUCCUGAAAAAGCACACGUAUUUUUCCUUCCUUUCAGUAUAACAAAUAUGGUCCAAUAUCUCUAUGUACCUGAUUCUCUUGAUCGUAGCCCCAUACAAAAAACUGUGAAGGACUAUGUCAAUCUCAUUGUUCAAAGAUACCCCUUUUGGAACAGAAGCCUAGGAGCUGAUCACUUCAUGCUUUCUUGCCAUCAGGGGCGGACCCACAGCCAAGUCAGGGGUUCAGAUGAACCCCCUGAAAAAAAGAAAAAUUCUACUUACCCCCUGUUAUGUUUUUUUUUUGAACCCCCUGAGAAAUUUAAUUUGCACCCAGACCCCAACUUACUCCUCUCUCUCACACACACUCACAGAGUCACAGACUCACGCUCUCACCCUCUCACGAUUCACGCUCACCACGCCCUCACUCUCUCGCAUUCUCACUAGGUCAUCAAGAUUCAAACACGCACGACACGGCGCAUCACCACCGGCCACCACCACGCCACGCCACCACCGUCCACCAGUCCAGCCGCCCCUCUGCGGCUCUACCCUAGGUGUGACCCCUCAUGGAACCAGAUGCACUCCGUGGAUGUGUUCUGUUGUUGAUUUUUCUGGGUUUCUUCUGGUUAUUUUCUGGGUUUGCAGGUGCUGGAGUUGUUGGGUUUCAAUCUAGGAUGGUGGAUAUGGGAUUUGCAGAUCUGGAUGGUUACUGUUAUGGGUGUAUUUGGGAGGUUUGGGUUUGAAGUAGAAGGUUAAUUCUUGGGGCUACUUGUGGCUCAUUGGGGUAGCUAUGGGGGUUGUGGUUUUUUUUUUGCUGCAGUUGCAAAACCACAGCGAAGCACCUGUAAUUGAUGAAUUACUUUGUCAAAUGCAUCCCUUUCAUUUUUUCAAUGCAGGACCUAGAACCAAAUAAGCAUGUGUUAAAUGAAUUUUUAGAUUUGAUUUGUUCAAGAACAAUUUCAAGUUUCAACGAUGGGUGAUGAAAAAUUGUGGACAGUGGGUGGUUGAAUUUGGUUUUUAAUUCAGCAGGUGAAACUGUGAGUUGUGUUCUUCCAUAAUUAAUUAGAUAAUUUCAAGGGUGAUGGUAUUUUCAAGGGUGGUAAUUGUAAUCCAGCGGAAGUAUUUGAAAAGAGUAAAUAGAGGGCAUGGGAGUGGUUGUGGGCCAGGGAUAAGGAUUUCCUACAUGCUUUUGGAGAAUGGUAUUGCGUGUAUUGCUGAUGAGUUGAGGAUGAUAUUGCUGCAGCAGGAAGGAAAUUUUUAAUCUGAUUAAUGAGUGAUAUGGUUUUGAUGUUAUUGGAAAGGUCAAAGGAGUAGUAAGGUAAGGUAUGAAUAGAUGCAGCGUGUUUAAAUGCUGGGAGACUCUGGCAUCUGAAUUUCAAUUGGCAUGGUGCGGACUAGAAGUGCAUCUUGGAAUUCAUGAAGCUUUGUUAUACAUUGUUGGGAUUCAUUAGCGAUAUUGGGGGCAUGGUCUUGACAACAAUAUGAUAUGUGGCUUUUAAUUGUGAGGAUCUAUGUGAGAAGAAGGUUGAUAGUUUUGCAGGGUUCAUUCUUGGGCAUUUGGCAGAGUUGCGUCAGCUUAAUUGGUUGGUGAAUUUCCAUGGCUAAAAUUGCUGGUGUUAGGAAUCAGCUUUGGCAUUUGAAGAUAGUCUAGACUAUAGUACUCCUUGGAGGUAUCUCUAUGGCUUAAGUAAUUUAGUACUCUUUUUAGUGGUGUAUAAUAAAUCAGUCCUUCUAUUCUAGUCUAUUGUAGUGGGAUUGAUUAAUUUAAUUUCACUUUUGAUGACAAAAAAAAAGUGUGCUUGUAGUCUUCAUUUAAUUACAUUUUUAUCGAUUUACUCAUUUGAAAAAUUUGAACCCCCUGACCCCGGGGUCCUGGAUCCGCCACUGCUUGCCAUGAUUGGGUACAUAGAUAACUAGUGUUACUUAUGCAUAAAUCACAACCCCUUCAUUGUUGAUUUAAGAAAGACUCAUACUAAGUACAUAUAUUUGUCUUUGUAAUCCUUCUAUUUCAGGGGCCUAUGGCUUCAAAGGCUGUUCCUAACUUGUACAAGAAUUCGAUUCGUGUUCUCUGCAAUGCUAACACAACUGAAGGAUUCAAGCCUGGAAAGGAUGUUUCUUUUCCAGAAAUCAAUAUUCUAACCGGUGGUUCAAUAGCCAGUUUGGUUGGAGGUACAUCGGCAUCAAAGCGUUCGGUUUUGGCUUUCUUUGCUGGUGGGCUUCAUGGGCCUAUUAGGCCUGCACUUCUUGAGCAUUGGGAAAACAAAGAUGAAGACAUGCAGGUUCACAAGUACCUUCCAAAGGGUGUUUCCUACUAUGACAUGUUGAGAAAGAGCAAGUUCUGCCUUUGCCCAAGUGGUUAUGAGGUUGCAAGCCCAAGAGUGGUGGAAGCUAUCUACACAGGUUGUGUCCCAGUACUCAUGUCAAAUUCUUAUGUUCCUCCAUUCAGUGAUGUCUUGAAUUGGAAAUCAUUCUCCCUUGAGGUUUCAGUGAAGGACAUUCCUAGGUUGAAGGAAAUUCUUUUGAGUGUUACUCCAAGGCAGUAUAUAAGAAUGCAGAGAAGAGUGGGACAAAUUAGGAGACACUUUGAGGUACAUUCUCCUCCUAGGAGAUUUGACAUGUUCCACAUGGUCCUUCAUUCUGUAUGGCUUAGAAGAUUGAACUUCAGAAUCCACGAUGAUCAAUAACACCACACAAAUUAUUUUCAAGUUAAUUUCAGGUUGGCUUAUAUCAGAUGGUGUGAUUAUUUUUUCUUGUCCUGUAUAAAAUUGUUACAACAAAAAAACAAGGCAAUCAAAUCAAGCCUUUUAGGGGUAGGUGUGUGUUGGCUACAUGGAUAAAAUUGUCAUAGGGAUAAAAGUUUUUUAAUAAUGAAUGUUUCAGAUUCUUGAUGUUUCACACUCUUGUAUCACAUAAAUUAACCAAGCCUUUUGGGAACACAUUUGUCUUUUACUCUUUGGCUACUUGAAAAGCAAAACCUUGGACCCAACCCAAAUAUGCCUAAAACGGUGAAGUAGGUGGUGAAAUAUGUAAGCAUUUAAGAAUGGGAAAUUCAUGCACAUGUCUUCACCUCUUACUACCUCUCAUCAAAAUAAAUACCAUCAACCCUGUUCUAAAGCAAAUUACAAAACAUUAAAAUACCAAAACGAAAUUAUUUUAAUAAUUAAGCGUUUAAUUAGCUAUGUCUAUGAUCAUUAUCUUAACGUAGAAUCUUGACAAUUUAUGUCCAUUUCAAAUGAGAAAUUGCAAAACUAUAUUUAGUACCAAAACGACACGUCUUAAGCAAGAGGAAGUCCAAAACGAAACGUACUUGAAUUGAAAAAUUGCCCACUAGAAUAUCUGACAAAAAUACGGGACCAUUAUUUUAGUGAAUGAAAGUGAUCGGACAACAACAAAGUGUCCCAGUGGGUGUGGUCGUUAAUGAAUAAAAGAAGAAUGCAAGGGUCAAAACGAAAAUACAGAAAGUUGCAUGCAGGGGUUUUGACAGCAAAGUGUAGUGGAGCCAUUGCAUUUAUUACCAACAUCUCUCCUUCCUCUUAAUUCCUUCUAGUUUGUUGUAUGCCAACAAUAACAAACCUCUCUAUUUCUACUUCCUCUGUUUCUCUCUCUGUUUUUUAUUUCUCUCUAUAACACAAAACAGAACCAUGUUUGGUUUCUGCCACCAACAACUACUAUAGGUAGUGAAAAAAAUAUUUACCUCCUUGUUUUGGAAUUCUGAACUUGUGGGGUUUAGGAUUGAGAAGCUCCACCUCUCAUGGGUGGUGACAGUUGGAAUCUUUGUUGUUCAUGGAGGAGUACUUCAAGUUCAAGGACAAGUUCAGGGCCAUUUUCAUCCAUGAAGCUCUUGCUUUUCAUGUUGCCUCUGGUACUUGUUGCUGGGCUAAUUUGUGUAAAGGGUCCUAACCCCUCAAGUUGGUUUGCUACUACCAACCAACCUCUCUUAUUAAACUCUGUUACUCCCUCUGCUUCAAACAGUGGUGGUGGUGGUGGUGGUGGUGGUGGUGGUGUCACUGGUGUGAGCACUGUGGAAUUGGAGGUCCCACCUGUGAAACAGAAAGAAGGGUUAGUGAUGGAAGAUGUUGUGGAUCUUCAAGGGAAAGAGGAGAAAACUAUCCCUGAUGAUAACACUGCCUUCAAUCAGUCCUUUACUUCCCCAGUUUCAGUUCAGGAUCAUGACAUAGCAGUAACACCUCCUGAUCAACCUUCUGUAAGAGCUUGUUUUUCUUUUAAUUAUGUGCUUUCUUUUUAGAUUCUAUCUUCUAAAAGUCAAUAUCACAUGUGGGGAGGGGAUAUAACAUAAAGUAGUAAUAUUGAAGCUUCUUAGAUGAAUUUUGCAAAAAAGUAUGACAUGAUUAUUGAUUAUUAAAACAAGAUAAAAAAGGAACUCAUGAUACUAGAACAGAAUCUAUACCCUUUUAUUAAAUUUUGCAGGAAAAAUGUCGAGAACAAUACAUAAAAUUGAAAGGAUUUUGUUACAUAAUGUUUCCUUUCAAAUUUAGUUGGUACAUAGUUUUUAUUUUUUGUCCCCACACUCCUUUUACAUCUACAUAUGAUAGGUACGACUUCUCUAAAUUAAGAAUCACAAUUAUUGAUUAUUGGUUGAAUUUAUUGAAUUGAUUUUUUUAAGUAGAUAACUAUUAUUAAUGGUUAUGAGGUUUAUUUCACCUCUAAAGUGAUUCAAGCCAAAUCCCAUAUAAUAUAAUAACUUUCCAUUCAUGUUUUUGAGUCAAUUUUGCUGCGUGAAAUGGAGGGUUUGAACUAUAAUAUUGAAUAUUGGUAGCUUGUAUUGUUGCCUUAAUGUAGCUAUCUAUCCAAGGAAUUGGACACGGAUUUCAAACUAAAAGGUAUUAACUAUUCUUUCCGUAUUAGAUAUAAAUAACGUUGUAAUAACGCAAAGAAAUGUGAUUCCACAGUAUGGUCGGGUUUUCGAAUAUUUUAGGUAUUUUAAAACCAGUACUUAGAGUAAUGCUUGCAUGAAGUUAUUUGUAUUUGUUCAAGACUGUGAAUUGGAAAUUGGAAAUAGGGACCAACUGACCAAGUCAGAACACAUUAGGAAUUAAGAUUCUAAACCUAGCCGUCUUUAUGUAUGUUCAAUUGGUAACUUUUCCUUUCAUAGAAAGAAAGGUGUAACACUAACCCUAAAUCUCCUAAGGCUUGGGCCUUAAACAUAAGUGGUCCAAGCGUACAUGAGCUAUAACAAAUGUGUCGCAAUCGCCCACAAGCUAGGGGAGCCGCUUGCCGGAUAAGGGAGAUUGCUUACCGGACGAAAGGCCGCUCAAUACUUCGCAGGCUUCGUAUUCUCAUCUCUGGGCUUCAAACACAACUGGGCACCUCAAACUUUUCGGUGGACCCUUCAUGCCAGGGCCCUUGUAGAGGCAGCCAAGAGAAUGGGUCACCUAGAAGGAUAGGCUGCCCCAAUUUGCAUAUUACAUGAGAAACCCUUCAUCUAGGUCACCCGACCAGUCCAGUAUUCUUAUGAUGCCACUUGGGAUUUAUUUCUUCCAUUUACAAACUUCUAGUAAAAAUCCACUAGUUCCCUUAUACCAUUUUUAUUCUAUAAUAUUCUUGGUCCAAAUUAUGUACUUUCCCCCCUGCACAAGAAACAAUGAUUAUGGAAGAAUUUAUUUAAAAACAAAUUGGUGUCAUUGUCGUUUUCGAAUAGGGGAAAAGGCAGGAAAGGCUAAAUUAUUUUCUCAUGUUUUAUUACUAUGUUGGGUUUUCAAUAGCAACUUGUUCAUUCUAGUUUCUAACACCAUUUAAAUUAACAUCCGAGUGUUAUGAGUUUAAAUAAAUAUUGAUGACCCAUUAAUUUUUUCCUACUAGUUCAAAGAUGUAGAAGGUCUCAAUGUCUCCCAAAAUUGGACCAAUAUAGCCCCUGUGAAUGAAUCUUAUGCUCCUUCAGGGAGACCAAAGCAGCCGAGGAAGUACAACAUCUUAGAUAGAACCGAAGUUGGCCUACUACAAGCUAGAGCUGCAAUAAGAGAAGCAAGAAAUGGGAACCAAACACAAGACAUGGAUUAUGUUCCAGCAGGACCAAUGUACUAUAAAGCUAAUGCAUUUCACAGGUAACAAAUAAUGCAACACUGCUUUAUUUUCUCAUUACAAUUGGCAAUAAUCAGGUUCCUGUAAGGCUGUAAGAUUGUAACUUCCUACCAAUUAAUGAGUGAAUUGGCCUCACCAAUUUUUUCAAUAUGAGAAGCACAAUAAGUAAAACAUAUUACUAACACACAGAACCUUGGACUUUUGACAGGAGUUACUUAGAGAUGGAGAAACAGUUCAAGGUAUUUGUCUAUGAAGAAGGGGAUGCACCAAUUUUCCAUAAUGGACCUUGCAGAAGCAUAUAUUCAACAGAGGGAAAUUUCAUCAAUGCUAUUGACAUGAAUGACCAUUUCAGAACAAGAGACCCUGAAAAAGCACACGUAUUUUUCCUUCCUUUCAGUAUAACAAAUAUGGUCCGAUAUCUCUAUGUACCUGA
rnacentral:lncRNA from 1 species